UACGUAGGAGACAAACGUUAUCCGGAGUUACUGGGCGUAAAGGGCGUGUAGGUGGUUUCGUAAGUCUGGCGUGAAAUUUUUCGGCUUAACCGGGAAAGGUCGUCGGAUACUGCGGAACUAGAGGACGGUAGAGGCGUGUGGAAUUCCGGGUGUAGUGGUGAAAUGCGUAGAGAUCCGGAGGAACACCAGUGGCGAAGGCGACACGCUGGGCCGUACCUGACACUGAUGCGCGACAGCAUGGGGGAGCAAACAGG
rnacentral:rRNA from 1 species